rnacentral:rRNA from 1 species
GGAUGCGAUCAUACCAGCAGUAAGCACCGGAUCCCAUCAGAACUCUGAAGUUAUGCGUGCUUGGGCGAUAGUAGUACUAGGAUGGGUGACCUCCUGGGAAGUCCUCGUGAUGCGUCCC